AUAAUCAAUACAAACCAACAGACUACCAGCAUAUGCAACUCGGAAGACCAUUCAGUGAAAAUAAGAAAGAGCUUUGAUUUAACGCUUGUCUUUUGGGAAUAUUGUCAAGCUGUAAAGCAUGAUGAAGUUGAUAUUUUCUACCUUGGUAGGUUUGACGAUUAUGGUUGUUCUGAAAACAACACGGUCAAAUGCAGCUCUCGUUAAUGUUGCCCUUGGAAAACCUGCCUACCAGUCAAGUAAUUAUUCAAAAGAUUAUGAAA